GACGAACGCUGGCGGCGUGCCUAACACAUGCAAGUCGAACGGAAAGGCCGUGCAGUUGUGGGGUGCUGGGGUGGCGAACGGGUGAGUAACACGUGUGUAACCUGACCUUGACUUUGGGAUAACUUCAGGGAACUGGGGCUAAUACCGCAUAGGAGAUCCUGCUGCAUGGUGGGGGUUGGAGAGUUUCGGCGGUUGGGGAUGGUCUCGCGGCUUAUCAGCUUGUUGGUGGGGUAGUGGAUUACCAAGGCUCUGACGGGUAGCCGGCCUGGGAGGGUGACCGGCCCCAUUAGGCCUGGGCUGCGACACGGACUCCAAUGGGAGGCAGGGGUGGAGAAUAGUACCCAAUGCGAGGAGGCCUAGUGCAACAACGCCGCGUGGGGGAUGUCGGCCUGCGGGUUGUAAAGCGCAUUCGCCUGUCACGAAACGUGAGUGACGGUAAUGGGUAAAGAAGCCCCGGCUAACUACGUG
rnacentral:rRNA from 1 species